rnacentral:lncRNA from 1 species
UGGGCAGUUUUGAGAUCCUCGUGUCAUCACGAGCGCGUAGGAUUUCGCGGAUCUCGAUUCGGAGUCCGUUUGAGCCCCGAACCGAUUUUUCAUAUCGCGCGAUCCUUGGGUGCAGUGUCGUCAAAUCGUCGGAUCGCACUGAAUUUCGGAUAUGUCGGUCUACAUAAUUUCACGAUCGUGUAGGAUUCGACGGAUUGCGAAUCGGAGUCCCGGAUACUCCGAAAUCGCGAACCCUAGGGCUAGGGUUUGGAUUUUAAGCGAUAACGCGAUUUUGGCUAAUCCGACCGUCCGUUUCGGACCAAACUCGCAGAACAUGGCUCCUUCUCUGUAAGGAACCUUCAGAGGAGCCCAAAUUGGCCGAUCUGGCAGUAUAUCGCUUAGUAAGGCUUCGGGUCUCUUAAGGUCGUUCUAACCGUCUAAAAAGCUAAUGUGGGCAUAAGAGUAACUUUAAAAUGAGUGCACGUAUUUCUA